rnacentral:rRNA from 1 species
UACGGAGGGUGCAAGCGUUGCUCGGGAUUAUUGGGCGUAAAGGGUGCGUAGGUGGCGGGGUAAGUCUGGUGUGAAAUCUCGGAGCUCAACUCCGAAACUGCACUGGAUACUGCCUUGCUCGAGUACUGGAGAGGAGAUUGGAAUUUACGGUGUAGCAGUGAAAUGCGUAGAUAUCGUAAGGAAGACCAGUGGCGAAGGCGAAUCUCUGGACAGUUACUGACACUGAGGCACGAAGGCCAGGGGAGCAAACGGG